ensembl:lncRNA
UUUAUUACCACAAUGGAAACCCUGACUAAGACACCACCCCUCCCCUAGCUUGUAACUGGUGAACCUUUGACUACAGCAGCCUCUGUUUUAAUGGGAUUUGUGUGACUAGAGACCAUACAGAACUCCUUUGAAAUGAUAGUAUUUUUGAUACCCUUUAAUAAAGUGGGGGCUAAAAUUAAUUUUACCUGUUCAGUUUUUCUGUGCAGUCACUGGAAAAGGCGUAAAUUACAUGGGUGUGUGUGUGUGUGUGUGUGUGUGUGUGUGUGACUAUGUGUGUAAUGUGUGUAUGUGUGUGUUACUAUGUAAUGUGUGUGCGUGUGUGUGUUACUAUGUGUAAUGUGUGUAUGUGUGUGUUACUAUGUGUGUAAUGUGUGUAUGUGUGUGUUACUAUGUAGUGUGUGUGUUACUGUGUAUGUUACUAUGUGUGUAAUGUGUGUAUGUGUGUGUUACUAUUGUGUGUGUGUUACUGUGUGUGUUACUAUGUGUGUAAUGUGUGUAUGUGUGUGUGUUACUAUGUAGUGUGUGUGUGUGUGUGUGUGUGUGUGUGUGUGUGUGUUACUUUUCUGUCACAGCACCGUUGGUUUACCAAGUGCCUUUUUACCCACUUGAAAGCUGAGGGCUGAUGCCCUAAAGGCUUCCUGGAAGUUUGGGGAGUGGUUGUUUUGAUUUUCCACGGGGCUUUGGUUGUUUAGCCAAACAACCCAAAUAUAAUGAAUCAGAGCGGCAAGCUGUUCUCCUACAACAAAUCAGACUUGGGAUAAUGAAACCCCAGGGACGUGUCCCAAGUCAAGCUAACAAAGCAAGCAGGCGAGUCCUCGGCUGCUGGGAAAAUAUUGCCACCAAAGGUCAUCUCUGUGCCUUUGCCCCAACCGCUGACAGUUCAGGCUGGUGCUUUGGUGGCAACCGUGUGGGAAGCAUGGCUCUCUUCCCCUCAGACUGUCAUGCUCUCACAGUAACAAAGUUCAUUGUUGAGAUUUGUAUGACCCUCCCUUACCAUUUGUUUACUUGUGGAGUAUGUAUCAACUUGUUCCUGGGGGUCAGAUCUGCUAUUUCAUUACCGGUAGACGUUCAUGAGGAUGCUACGUGCUCCCCACAAAAGCUUGCCAACAGGUCAGUAGGUGAGUUGGCAAGAGUUCUGCUAAAGAUAAUACUGUUGAUGCCAUGUGGGCAAGAAAGGAACCUUUCAAAGCAGCGGGGUGAUGUCUGCCCCAGAGAGAGAGCUCGUGCUUAAAUGGGUGGAGCGCACGAGGGCUUCCCUUGCUUUACCUCUUGCCGCCAUAUUGAUUAGAUGCAGUUGCUGGUCCCCUGUCCCUAAUCUAAUUACAUGCCAUUAGUUUUUACACAGCAGAAUCUCAGCCUCCUCUUGGGGGUCAGAUUCUGGGGUGGCAAAAGAAGGGACAGCAGCAGUCUUUCAUCUCAUGGGAUCAGGGUUUAGAGAUGUCAGCUGAUGCACACCCUUACAGAAGGAACUAUGACUCCUGUGAACCAG